UACGUAGGGGGCGAGCGUUGUCCGGAUUUAUUGGGCGUAAAAGGCUUGUAGGUGGCCACGUCAUGUCGGAUGUGAAAUCUCCCGGCUCAACUGGGAGGGUGCAUCGAAAACUGGCAGGCUUGAGGCAGGGAGAGGGAUGUGGAAUUCCAGGUGUAGUGGUGAAAUGCGUAGAUAUCGGGAGGAACACCAGUGGCGAAGGCGACUACCUGGCCUGUUCUUGACGCUGAGGCGCGAAAGCUAGGGGAGCAAACGGG
rnacentral:rRNA from 1 species